GUUGACAUCAACGUAUUUGGUUCCAUGUUUGUAGUGUAGAUUCUAAGUACCAGUCCACAGAAACAUGUCUGUAAUAAUACUGUUAUUGACCAUCCUACUGUUCAGCAUGACAUUUAGUGACUCUGUCAUGGUGAACAAAGUAAGCAGAGAUAAAUUUCUAGAACUUCACAACGCUGAACGUAGAAGAGUUGGAACUCAGC
rnacentral:sRNA from 1 species